UACGAAGGGGGCUAGCGUUGUUCGGAAUUACUGGGCGUAAAGCGCGCGCAGGCGGCUAUCCAAGUCAGUGGUGAAAGCCCGGAGCUCAACUCCGGAACUGCCAUUGAAACUGUUUAGCUUGAGUACGAGAGAGGUGAGUGGAAUUCCCAGUGUAGAGGUGAAAUUCGUAGAUAUUGGGAAGAACACCGGUGGCGAAGGCGGCUCACUGGCUCGUAUCUGACGCUCAGGCGCGACAGCGUGGGGAUCAAACAGG
rnacentral:rRNA from 1 species